rnacentral:lncRNA from 1 species
CUGGGAAGCCUAGAGCAAGCUGUGCAUUGGCUGUUUUGGCUUGCUUAUCCUGGAGUCCAGGGAAAGAGGAAUACAGAUGCUGGCUAAAGGUUUAAAGUCCCUAACCAACACUGUGGGACUCUGUACUCUUUCUAAAGCUCCCCUGCCUGCCUGCCUGGAAGCUGUUUUGCUCAGCAGUUUGUCCUCCAGAUGCCUUAUCUAAAGCAGCAAGGCUUUGGUUUUUCUCUCCUCCUUUCUCCUCCUCCCUUCCAGGGAACAGUGAGAGUUACUGCUUUCCUCUCCUGGAGUUUCUUUUAGACUCUAAUAAACUGUCCUUAGCUUCCAUUUGAGUCUGUUCUUAAAAUCUUUUAUCAGUAAAACCAAGAAUCCCAAAUAGAGACCACUGACUUCCUGGGUGCCAUCUGGUGGCUCUUCUGGGGCUCUCUAAAAUUUCUAGCAGC